CGCACAUUGCGCCCCUCGGUAUUCCGGGGGGCAUGCCUGUUCGAGCGUCAUUACACCACUCAAGCCUGGCUUGGUCUUGGGCGCCGCGGUCCGCCGCGCGCCCUAAUGUCUCCGGCUGAGCCAUCUGUCUCGAAGCGUUGUGAUCAAUCAAAUCGCUUCCGGGUGCGGGUGACUCGGGCCGUUAAACCCCCCAUUCAUUACAGGUUGACCUCGGAUCAGGUAGGGAUACCCGCUGAACUUAA
rnacentral:misc_RNA from 1 species